rnacentral:rRNA from 1 species
CCUACGGGAGGCAGCAGUGAGGAAUAUUGCGCAAUGGGGGCAACCCUGACGCAUCGACGCCGCGUGGAUGAUGAAGGCCCUUGGGUCGUAAAAUCCUGUCAGAUGGAAAGAAAUGUAUGGGUGUUAAUAUCGCCUGUAUUUGACGGUACCAUCAAAGGAAGCACCGGCUAACUCCGUGCCAGCAGCCGCGGUAAU